rnacentral:rRNA from 1 species
UACGUAGGGGGCAAGCGUUGUCCGGAUUUAUUGGGCGUAAAGAGCGUGUAGGCGGCCAGGUAGGUCCGUUGUGAAAACUCGAGGCUCAACCUCGAGACGUCGGCGGAAACCCUCUGGCUAGAGUCCGGAAGAGGAGAGUGGAAUUCCUGGUGUAGCGGUGAAAUGCGCAGAUAUCGGGAGGAACACCAGUGGCGAAGGCGGCUAGCUGGCCUGUAACUGACGCUGAGGCGCGAAGGCUAGGGGAGCGAACAGG